CCUACGGGUGGCUGCAGUGGGGAAUUUUGGACAAUGGGGGCAACCCUGAUCCAGCCAUUCCGCGUGAGUGAAGAAGGCCUUCGGGUUGUAAAGCUCUUUCGGCCGGGAAGAAAUCGCAUCUCCUAAUACGGGGUGUGGAUGACGGUACCGGAAGCAGAAGCACCGGCUAACUACGUGCCAGCAGCCGCGGUAAUACGUAGGGUGCGAGCGUUAAGCGGAGUUACUGGGGGUGGCUCACUAAGACAGAUCUGAAAUCCCCGGGCUUAACCUGGGAACUGCGUUUGUGACUGGUGGGGUUGAGUGCGGCAGAGGGGGGUGGAAUUCCACGUGUAGCAGUGAAAUGCGUAGAGAUGUGGAGGAACACCGAUGGCGAAGGCAGCCCCCUGGGUCGACACUGACGCUCAUGCACGAAAGCGUGGGGAGCAAACAGGAUUAGAUACCCCUGUAGUC
rnacentral:rRNA from 1 species